CCUACGGGAGGCAGCAGUGAGGAAUAUUGGUCAAUGGCCGGAAGGCUGAACCAGCCAUGCCGCGUGAAGGUCAGUGCCCUAUGGGCGUUAAACUUCUUUUGUGCGGGAGCAAUAAUGGUCACGUGUGGCCAGACGAGAGUACCGUACGAAUAAGCAUCGGCUAACUCCGUGCCAGCAGCCGCGGUAAUACGGGGGAUGCAAGCGUUAUCCGGAUUUAUUGGGUUUAAAGGGUGCGCAGGCGGAGGUGCAAGUCAGCGGUCAAAUUGCGGGGCUCAACCCCGUACUGCCGUUGAAACUGCAUCCCUUGAGUGCGCGAGAAGUAUGCGGAAUGCGUGGUGUAGCGGUGAAAUGCAUAGAUAUCACGCAGAACUCCGAUUGCGAAGGCAGCAUACCGGCGCGCAACUGACGCUCAUGCACGAAAGCGUGGGUAUCGAACAGGAUUAGAUACCCGGGUAGUC
rnacentral:rRNA from 1 species